rnacentral:misc_RNA from 1 species
AGGCCUUGCUCCAGGUAACGAGACCGAUCGAUUUGCUUUGCUCAAUUUCAAACGAGGGAUAACCAGUGAUCCUACAGGCAGGGUCUUCAACUCCUGGAACGAUUCUUUCCAUUUCUGUAGCUGGUUUGGAAUCACAUGCAGUCCCCGCCAUCAGAGAGUCACUUCUUUGGUUUUAAAAGGGCAAAACUUGAUGGGAUCCAUAUCACCUUACGUUGGCAACCUGAGUUUUCUUAGGAUCCUUGACCUCCAAAACAACAGUUUCCAUGGCCAAAUUCCGCAAGAAGUUGUUAAUCUCUCUCGACUGCAACUACUCCUUCUCAACAACAACACACUAAAAGGAAAACUUCCCAGCAACUUGAGCCACUGCUCCCAACUAAGGAUAAUUGAUUUAUCCGUUAAUGGAGUUGAAGGAAAAAUUCCCACAGAGCUAGGUCGUUUGGCAAAGCUUGAGAGGCUUGUGCUUGGUGUAAACAAUCUAACAGGAGAGAUUCCACCUUCCCUUGGCAACCUU